AUUGAACGCUGGCGGCAGGCCUAACACAUGCAAGUCGAGCGGAUGACGGGAGCUUGCUCCUCGAUUCAGCGGCGGACGGGUGAGUAAUACCUAGGAAUCUGCCUGAUAGUGGGGGACAACGUUUCGAAAGGAACGCUAAUACCGCAUACGUCCUACGGGAGAAAGCAGGGGCCCUUCGGGCCUUGCGCUAUCAGAUGAGCCUAGGUCGGAUUAGCUAGUUGGUGAGGUAAUGGCUCACCAAGGCGACGAUCCGUAACUGGUCUGAGAGGAUGAGCAGUCACACUGGAACUGAGACACGGUCCAGACUCCUACGGGAGGCAGCAGUGGGGAAUAUUGGACAAUGGGCGAAAGCCUGAUCCAGCCAUGCCGCGUGUGUGAAGAAGGUCUUCGGAUUGUAAAGCACUUUAAGUUGGGAGGAAGGGCAGUAAGCUAAUACCUUGCUGUUUUGACGUUACCGACAGAAUAAGCACCGGCUAACUCUGUGCCAGCAGCCGCCGUAACAC
rnacentral:rRNA from 1 species